UACGUAGGUGACAAGCGUUGUCCGGAUUUACUGGGCGUAAAGAGCGCGCAGGCGGUCGUUCAAGUCGAGUGUGAAAGCCCCCGGCUCAACUGGGGAGGGUCAUUCGAUACUGAUCGACUCGAAGGCAGGAGAGGGAAGUGGAAUUCCCGGUGUAGUGGUGAGAUGCGUAGAUAUCGGGAGGAACACCAGUGGCGAAGGCGACUUCCUGGCCUGUUCUUGACGCUGAGGCGCGAAAGCUAGGGGAGCAAACGGG
rnacentral:rRNA from 1 species